CAGACUGAAUAUCACUGAAAUCCUUGACAGAGCAGAAGGACCAUAGACGGUGCAGAGGGAUUUUAGAAAGAAAAAAAUACAUUCUGCCAGAGAGGUGCUGCAGUUAUGCCUUUUGCCCAUCAGAGGCUGCUUGGUACCAGAACAGAGAGCAGCUGCUCCCGGGCCAGAGCAGCCUCAGCUGCAGAUCGGAAAGAGAAGAGGUUGUGCUCCUCACAGCGCCCUGCUUGGGGACCAGAAAUUGGCUGGGAACUGCAGCCAAUGGGAGCUGCAGGGGCUGUGCCUGCAGGCAGAGGCAGCACAUGGAGCUAGGAGCUGAG